GAGAGGUAAGGCCUCCUCAUUCCAAGGCCACUUCCACAGGCAGCCAGUCAGGCAGAGAGGUAAGGCCUUCUCAUUCCAAGGCAACUUCCACAGGCAGCCAGUCAGGCAGAGAGGUAAGGCCUCCUCAUUCCCAGGCCACUUCCACAGGCAGCCAGUCAGGCAGAGAGGUAAGUCCUCCUGAUUCCAAGGCAACUUCCACAGGCAGCCAGUCAGGCAGAGAGGUAAGGCCUUCUCAUUCCAAGGCAACUUCCACAGGCAGCCAGUCAGGCAGAGAGGUAAGGCCUCCUUAUUCCCAGGCCACUUCCAUAGGGCAGACAGUCGUAGGCAGAGAGGUAAGGCCUCCUGAUUCCAAGGCAACUUCCACAGGCAGCCAGUCAGGCAGAGAGGUAAGGCCUUCUCAUUCCAAGGCAACUUCCAC
ensembl:lncRNA